rnacentral:lncRNA from 1 species
UUGAGUAUCUAGUUGUGAUGAUUGGAUCUUCAUUGUGUGUAUCCUUUGUGCUCGGUCAUCAGCAUAAUGAUAUACAUAUUCAUGCAUAAACAUGCAUAAACAUAGCAUCAGAUAUUUCAUUGUGCAUUUUACACAUUGACAUAUUCUUCUGAUCCCCUGCUUUGGUGAUAUCAUUCCCCCAUGCAGAUUUGGUGUGUCUGUCCUCCUUCAAUGUAGAGUGUCAGUCCCUUUAGCAGAAAGAGUUUAUCCUUUCUUCUUCCUCAUUGAGUUAUUUCCUUGUGAAUAAUUAUAAUUUUUCCUUUCUCCCCAGUUCAUUAUCAGGAUGGAGCCACUCCCCUUGAGUUAUAUCCUUAUUGGGUUGAGUCUUGUUUGACCUUUU